rnacentral:tRNA from 1 species
CAUGAUGUCUAUAGUUUUUAUUAUUAGGCCAUGAUCCUGUCACCUUAGGUCGAUCGGUACCUCAGAUUAUUUGUCUGCAUUCAUUUUUGGAUUGACAUUAAUUUCAGUUCCUAAACUUGUCUAGGUCACACCCAGCAAGGGUACUCCUGGGCCAUUAGCUCAGGUGGUUAGAGCGCACCCCUGAUAAGGGUGAGGUCCCUGGUUCAAGUCCAGGAUGGCCCAUUCGAUGUUGGGGGUAUAGCUCAGUUGGUAGAGCGCCUGCUUUGCAAGCAGGAUGUCAGCGGUUCGAGUCCGCUUACCUCCACUGAUCGACUCCUGAUAACGAAAUCACAGGAGAUUUUGUUGUUUAUGUGACUUAGACGUUGUUUUAACUGUUUGAACCUAGCUUCCUAUCAUUCUUUAUUAAUUUUGGAUUUGAUCCAAAUUAAAGUUGACAGGAUGCUGGGCUCACCGAUUCCCUUAAUGGAAAUCGGCAAAGUUCAGUAGAACCUUGACAACUGCAUAGGUGAGUUUGGAUAGAAUAAAGCAUCUCAUAGAUGCACUAUUUUCUUAUUCAUAUCGGUUUGAUGAUUAUUUGUUAAUCAAAUAAUUCAUUGCGAUAGAUGAUAAGGAAUGGUGUUUAAUUCUUGAGUCAAGAGCCAAUUUAUUUAAAA